rfam:Picea glauca, whole genome shotgun sequence.
GGGUGUGAUCAUACCAGCGUUAAUGCAUCAGAUCCCAUCAGAUCUCCACAGUUAAGAGAGCUUGGGCUAGAGUAGUACUGUGAUGGUUAACCUCCUGGGAAGUCCUAGUGUUUCACCCU